rnacentral:rRNA from 1 species
UACGUAGGGGGCAAGCGUUGUCCGGAAUCAUUGGGCGUAAAGCGCGUGUAGGCGGUUCGGUAAGUCUGCUGUGAAAGUCCAGGGCUCAACCCUGGGAUGCCGGUGGAUACUGUCGGGCUAGAGUACGGAAGAGGCGAGUGGAAUUCCCGGUGUAGCGGUGAAAUGCGCAGAUAUCGGGAGGAACACCAAUUGCGAAGGCAGCUCGCUGGGACGUUACUGACGCUGAGACGCGAAAGCGUGGGGAGCAAACAGG